rnacentral:tRNA from 1 species
AGGGUUGUAGUUAAAUAAAAUAACGAUUACAUUGCAAGUAAAAAAAAUUGAAAUAUCAAUCUACCUUA